rnacentral:rRNA from 1 species
UUAAGCGACUAAGCGUACACGGUGGAUGCCCUGGCAGUCAGAGGCGAUGAAGGACGUGCUAAUCUGCGAUAAGCGUCGGUAAGGUGAUAUGAACCGUUAUAACCGGCGAUUUCCGAAUGGGGAAACCCAGUGUGUUUCGACACACUAUCAUUAACUGAAUCCAUAGGUUAAUGAGGCGAACCGGGGGAACUGAAACAUCUAAGUACCCCGAGGAAAAGAAAUCAACCGAGAUUCCCCCAGUAGCGGCGAGCGAACGGGGAGCAGCCCAGAGCCUGAAUCAGUGUGUGUGUUAGUGGAAGCGUCUGGAAAGGCGCGCGAUACAGGGUGACAGCCCCGUACACAAAAAUGCACAUAUUGUGAGCUCGAUGAGUAGGGCGGGACACGUGGUAUCCUGUCUGAAUAUGGGGGGACCAUCCUCCAAGGCUAAAUACUCCUGACUGACCGAUAGUGAACCAGUACCGUGAGGGAAAGGCGAAAAGAACCCCGGCGAGGGGAGUGAAAAAGAACCUGAAACCGUGUACGUACAAGCAGUGGGAGCACGCUUAGGCGUGUGACUGCGUACCUUUUGUAUAAUGGGUCAGCGACUUAUAUUCUGUAGCAAGGUUAACCGAAUAGGGGAGCCGAAGGGAAACCGAGUCUUAACUGGGCGUUAAGUUGCAGGGUAUAGACCCGAAACCCGGUGAUCUAGCCAUGGGCAGGUUGAAGGUUGGGUAACACUAACUGGAGGACCGAACCGACUAAUGUUGAAAAAUUAGCGGAUGACUUGUGGCUGGGGGUGAAAGGCCAAUCAAACCGGGAGAUAGCUGGUUCUCCCCGAAAGCUAUUUAGGUAGCGCCUCGUGAAUUCAUCUCCGGGGGUAGAGCACUGUUUCGGCAAGGGGGUCAUCCCGACUUACCAACCCGAUGCAAACUGCGAAUACCGGAGAAUGUUAUCACGGGAGACACACGGCGGGUGCUAACGUCCGUCGUGAAGAGGGAAACAACCCAGACCGCCAGCUAAGGUCCCAAAGUCAUGGUUAAGUGGGAAACGAUGUGGGAAGGCCCAGACAGCCAGGAUGUUGGCUUAGAAGCAGCCAUCAUUUAAAGAAAGCGUAAUAGCUCACUGGUCGAGUCGGCCUGCGCGGAAGAUGUAACGGGGCUAAACCAUGCACCGAAGCUGCGGCAGCGACGCUUAUGCGUUGUUGGGUAGGGGAGCGUUCUGUAAGCCUGUGAAGGUGUACUGUGAGGUAUGCUGGAGGUAUCAGAAGUGCGAAUGCUGACAUAAGUAACGAUAAAGCGGGUGAAAAGCCCGCUCGCCGGAAGACCAAGGGUUCCUGUCCAACGUUAAUCGGGGCAGGGUGAGUCGACCCCUAAGGCGAGGCCGAAAGGCGUAGUCGAUGGGAAACAGGUUAAUAUUCCUGUACUUGGUGUUACUGCGAAGGGGGGACGGAGAAGGCUAUGUUGGCCGGGCGACGGUUGUCCCGGUUUAAGCGUGUAGGCUGGUUUUCCAGGCAAAUCCGGAAAAUCAAGGCUGAGGCGUGAUGACGAGGCACUACGGUGCUGAAGCAACAAAUGCCCUGCUUCCAGGAAAAGCCUCUAAGCAUCAGGUAACAUCAAAUCGUACCCCAAACCGACACAGGUGGUCAGGUAGAGAAUACCAAGGCGCUUGAGAGAACUCGGGUGAAGGAACUAGGCAAAAUGGUGCCGUAACUUCGGGAGAAGGCACGCUGAUAUGUAGGUGAAGUCCCUCGCGGAUGGAGCUGAAAUCAGUCGAAGAUACCAGCUGGCUGCAACUGUUUAUUAAAAACACAGCACUGUGCAAACACGAAAGUGGACGUAUACGGUGUGACGCCUGCCCGGUGCCGGAAGGUUAAUUGAUGGGGUCAGCGCAAGCGAAGCUCUUGAUCGAAGCCCCGGUAAACGGCGGCCGUAACUAUAACGGUCCUAAGGUAGCGAAAUUCCUUGUCGGGUAAGUUCCGACCUGCACGAAUGGCGUAAUGAUGGCCAGGCUGUCUCCACCCGAGACUCAGUGAAAUUGAACUCGCUGUGAAGAUGCAGUGUACCCGCGGCAAGACGGAAAGACCCCGUGAACCUUUACUAUAGCUUGACACUGAACAUUGAGCCUUGAUGUGUAGGAUAGGUGGGAGGCUUUGAAGUGUGGACGCCAGUCUGCAUGGAGCCGACCUUGAAAUACCACCCUUUAAUGUUUGAUGUUCUAACGUUGACCCGUGAUCCGGGUUGCGGACAGUGUCUGGUGGGUAGUUUGACUGGGGCGGUCUCCUCCUAAAGAGUAACGGAGGAGCACGAAGGUUGGCUAAUCCUGGUCGGACAUCAGGAGGUUAGUGCAAUGGCAUAAGCCAGCUUGACUGCGAGCGUGACGGCGCGAGCAGGUGCGAAAGCAGGUCAUAGUGAUCCGGUGGUUCUGAAUGGAAGGGCCAUCGCUCAACGGAUAAAAGGUACUCCGGGGAUAACAGGCUGAUACCGCCCAAGAGUUCAUAUCGACGGCGGUGUUUGGCACCUCGAUGUCGGCUCAUCACAUCCUGGGGCUGAAGUAGGUCCCAAGGGUAUGGCUGUUCGCCAUUUAAAGUGGUACGCGAGCUGGGUUUAGAACGUCGUGAGACAGUUCGGUCCCUAUCUGCCGUGGGCGCUGGAGAACUGAGGGGGGCUGCUCCUAGUACGAGAGGACCGGAGUGGACGCAUCACUGGUGUUCGGGUUGUCAUGCCAAUGGCACUGCCCGGUAGCUAAAUGCGGAAGAGAUAAGUGCUGAAAGCAUCUAAGCACGAAACUUGCCCCGAGAUGAGUUCUCCCUGACUCCUUGAGAGUCCUGAAGGAACGUUGAAGACGACGACGUUGAUAGGCCGGGUGUGUAAGCGCAGCGAUGCGUUGAGCUAACCGGUACUAAUGAACCGUGAGGCUUAACCUU